GUGAUGUGAUGAAUCGGUUUAUCCAUUCUCUGAGUGCUGCCGUCUUGUGGAAGUCUCUGCCUCGGCCCCUGUUCUGGGGGCCGGGCCCCUCCACUGCAGUGCUAGUGCCGCCCUGGCGUUCUGCCUGAGGUGGCUAAAGUCUGCGUGGAGAGUGCAGCUCCACUGGACGGUGGCUAGGAUGAACUUUUGCACUGAUCAUGUGACGCUGAGACCUGAGGGUGGCUGUGUUCUGGUACAG
ensembl:snoRNA